UGUCCAGACUCCUACGGGAGGCAGCAGUGGGGAAUAUUGCACAAUGGGGGGAACCCUGAUGCAGCGACGCCGCGUGGGUGAAGGAGCACCUCGGUGCGUAAAGCCCUAUCGGCAGGGAAGAAAAGCGAACAGGUUCGCCUGGACGGUACCUGACUAAGAAGCCCCGGCUAACUACGUGCCAGCAGCCGCGGGAAUACGUAGGGGGCAAGCGUUAUCCGGAUUUACUGGGUGUAAAGGGAGCGUAGACGGCGCUGCAAGUCCGGAGUGAAAGCCCAUGGCUUAACCAUGGUACUGCUCUGGAAACUGUGGAGCUUGAGUGCGGGAGGGGCAGGCGGAAUUCCUAGUGUAGCGGUGAAAUGCGUAGAUAUUAGGAGGAACACCGGUGGCGAAGGCGGCCUGCUGGACCGUAACUGACGUUGAGGCUCGAAAGCGUGGGGAGCAAACAGGAUUAGAUACCCCAGUAUG
rnacentral:rRNA from 1 species